UAAGUCCUACGAAGAAGGUUUAGCCAACGACUGCGGCCGCAAGCAGAGGUGCGAGGGCGGUAACGUCAUCGUGCUAACCGUCUGUGCGGAGGGGAACGCAGGCCAGCCAUAAAGCCCCGAAAUCAGCACUUCCGUGUGUCGAUCUAGUGUGGACAGGGGGAAGUCAAUAUCGUUCGGACCCUUUAUCGGCGAGUUGCGGGCAGACACGGCGGAGUCACAGACCA
rnacentral:ncRNA from 1 species